UACGAAGGGUGCAAGCGUUACUCGGAAUUACUGGGCGUAAAGGGUGCGUAGGUGGUUUGUUAAGUCUGCUGUGAAAUCCCCGGGCUCAACCUGGGAAUGGCAGUGGAUACUGGCAAGCUAGAGUGCGGUAGAGGGUAGUGGAAUUCCCGGUGUAGCAGUGAAAUGCGUAGAUAUCGGGAGGAAUACCUAUGGCGAAGGCAGGUUACUGGGCCAUCACUGACGCUGAGCUGCGAAAGCUAGGGGAGCAAACAGG
rnacentral:rRNA from 1 species